ACUUUUGAAAAUAUUUCCAGGUCAGGGUUCAAAGUAGGCACCAACCCACCAGCUAAAUGCUUGUUAAAUAUGCAAUUGGCUGGUUGAUUUGCGUCACUCACCAGCC